CCUACGGGGCGCUGCAGUGGGGAAUAUUGGACAAUGGGCGAAAGCCUGAUCCAGCCAUGCCGCGUGUGUGAAGAAGGCCUUCGGGUUGUAAAGCACUUUCAGUGGGGAAGAAAGCCUUGGGGCUAAUACCCUCGAGGAAGGACAUCACCCACAGAAGAAGCACCGGCUAACUCCGUGCCAGCAGCCGCGGUAAUACGGAGGGUGCGAGCGUUAAUCGGAAUUACUGGGCGUAAAGCGCGCGUAGGCGGUCUGAUAAGCCGGUUGUGAAAGCCCCGGGCUCAACCUGGGAACGGCAUCCGGAACUGUCAGGCUAGAGUGCAGGAGAGGAAGGUAGAAUUCCCGGUGUAGCGGUGAAAUGCGUAGAGAUCGGGAGGAAUACCAGUGGCGAAGGCGGCCUUCUGGACUGACACUGACGCUGAGGUGCGAAAGCGUGGGUAGCAAACAGGAUUAGAUACCCUAGUAGU
rnacentral:rRNA from 1 species